rnacentral:rRNA from 1 species
UACGUAGGGGGCAAGCGUUGUCCGGAAUCAUUGGGCGUAAAGCGCGUGUAGGCGGCUCGAUACGUCUGCUGUAAAAGUCCAGGGCUCAACCCUGGAAAGCCGGUGGAAACUGUCGAGCUAGAGUCCGGAAGAGGCGAGUGGAAUUCCUGGUGUAGCGGUGAAAUGCGCGGAUAUCAGGAGGAACACCAAUGGCGAAGGCAGCUCGCUGGGACGGUACUGACGCUGAGACGCGAAAGCGUGGGGAGCAAACAGG